CUGUUACCAUAGACAGAUAUAUAAAAAAUAUACCUAUAAAUUAUUAUUUUUUCAUAAACUUGGUUUUGUCUUUUCUUCUAAAAAAAUGAAACGAUGAGACCCUGAAACUCUUCUCCGUUGAGGGGCUGAGAUGCGCUCGAUCCAGAUUAAGGAAUUAUUCAGUUUGCUACCAAAAUCAACCAUUUCAAGUAACAAUGCCAAAAUAUUUUGAUAUGUGGCAAAAUAAACUAAAACUUAUCAUCACAACCUUACUAAUAUUUAGUAAUUCUACACAGUUCUACUCACAAAACUAUGUUAAAAUUUGAUAAAGUAUCAAACUAAACACAUCCUAUGUAUCUUGAUCUUACCAAAAUUUUGAAUACCAAAUAUUUGUCUUUACCAAUAGAGGGUAAGAUUUAUUUGAACAAUAAAGCGAAAACGCCUGCUAUGCAUUUUAAAUGAUCCACACAGUUACAUUGGGGAAAUCGAGCAGUAUUAAUUUGGGAUGGCUCCAGAUCAGCUUUGGAGAUCCAAAAAUAGGCGAGGUUCACUUAAGAUACACCAAAGCUCAGAAUUAGCAGCCUAUACAACUUCACAAACAGCGCCCGCAUCAUCACGCGGCUCAUGGUUGAUAACGACAAGAAAGUGAUAGGGUCACCAGACUAUCGAGAAAAAGCCUCCCGCCGGACGCGUGGUAGAGUGUCCAUGACGACUGCGAGAUGAGUUGGCCGAUGGCAUCACAGAGUAGCCCGAGGCAUAGGAAACAUACAGACGAGAGGAGUCGAGGAAGUCUCGGCCCCUUUGGGCGCCCACGCAUAUAUAUAGCUCUGCGUGCCAUCCCAUUCCUAUCUAAGCGGUGGCCCAUGAAGGAGCAUAGAUGGGCAUGCAGCUGGCUCAUUCCCGCAUCUUCC
rnacentral:lncRNA from 1 species